ACUUGAAAUCAAACAAAAACCCCCUUUUUAAACACUAAAAAGAAUAUUUUCUUUCUUUCUUUGACAUUGCGCCGUAAUGCUCUCCUUCUGCCCUCCUCUGCUCCUAUGGCCAUGAAACAAAGGAGUUUCAACGACGUCACACCGGUAAGUUCCCUUUACUCCCUUCCUCGUUUUGUUUAUUUGUUGUUUUUUAGAAGCAAAAGAAAAGAACUAAAAUAAAUUUUUUUUAAAAAACAGUAAAGGAACAGAGAAAAAUAAAACCAAAUCCCACCUUCAAAAAUAUUUUUCUGUAUAUUUUCUUUUUGAUUUCAGUACAAAAAAUUUUCUAACCCCCUUACAAUAAAUCCAUUGGCUUUUUAUAGCCAAAACUCCUUUACAAUUUGUUGUCUCUAUCCUAUUAGUGUUGCCCGUGGUUUAUUCGUUGCAGGUACGUGGAAAAAGCAAGGUGUGCUGAUCGUGGGUGGUUGCUGCGAUGUGAGCAGUUGCUGCGGCAUUCGCGGAGGCUUUUUGCUGCUGCAGUACUGAGGCAAAAGGGCUGGGCUCCUUGAUUCUGUUAUGGGUUUAUUGGGCUAAUGUAAUUGGGUUACAAUUUGGGCUUGUAACAUUUGUAAUUGGGCCACGUAAAUUAAGAUUUUAAAUGGACUGGGACCUUUGUUUAUUUAAGCCCGGACUAAAAUUGGGUAUUACAAUAGAAAUAGGCAUGCUGAUUAAAACAAAUCACAAAAAGAGAAAUCUAUGCAUUAGGUUUUUUUUUUUCUUGGUGAUAGGAAAAUUGGAAAUGUGAAAAAGGAAGUGUCUUUUUUAAAAAGAUUGGG
rnacentral:lncRNA from 1 species